UACGGGGGGGGCAAGCGUUGUUCGGAAUUACUGGGCGUAAAGGGCUCGUAGGCGGCCAACUAAGUCCGACGUGAAAUCCCAAGGCUUAACCUUGGAACUGCGUCGGAUACUGGAUGGCUUGAAUUCGGGAGAGGGAUGCAGAAUUCCAGGUGUAGCGGUGAAAUGCGUAGAUAUCUGGAGGAAUACCGGUGGCGAAGGCAGCCCCCUGGGCCAACACUGACGCUCAGGCACGAAAGCGUGGGGAGCAAACAGG
rnacentral:rRNA from 1 species